rfam:Ictidomys tridecemlineatus contig016410, whole genome shotgun sequence.
GGGGUUGUGGCUCAGUGGUAGAGUGCUUGUCUAGCAUGCAUGAGACACCAGGUUCAAUCCUCAGCACCA